AACUGUCUAAAUCGUUUGAUACAUGUGGGUCAGGCAAAACACAAUUUAGAUAGAAAUGGUUAUUCUGGGGAGUCGACAUGUAUUGGACUGCUCCAAAAUCACAACUUUGAUAGCAUAGGGGUACAAGAGUCAUUUAGCAUUUUCUGUUAAUGGUAUUAGCGAUGCACUUUACUCCAAAAUCAUAAGGGAGCGAAUUGGUUAUUAAUAAAACUCAGGAAAAUUAUCUGCAAAACGGCCAAAUCAUAGGGAGGUAAUACGUACUUUGUCCAACAUUUUUAUAGGAAUUUGUCCACAUAAGUCUAAUUAAUUUUCUAUUCACUCCUUUUAAACAAGGUUUCUUGUUAAGUUUCUUGACCAAGAGAACCAACCGCAGCUCUCUGUCAACUAGAAUUUCCCAUCCAGUACUCACCAGACUAAGAAACAAUGGGCAGUGAAGCACCGAGCUGGGCUGAUCAAUGGGGCAAAGGUGGCGUUGGCGCAAUGGGAGACGAAGACAACGGAACGACAGAGAAAGAGAGUGGAAGUAACAAGAAGGCGUCCGGCACUUCGGCUGGGCUGAGUAAAGCCAAAUCAGUAGCCAUGGCCGGGGCACAGAAGGUCAAGAGCGGGACCGUGGCCGGGGCGCAGAAGGUCAAGAGCGGGACUUCGACGGGCUUCAACUGGAUCAAGAACAAAUGCCAAAAGAAGAACUCUCCCGAAUAGCGUAAAUCGUUGUGUGUUUUUUCGACGCACUUUGUGUGAAAUAGUACGUGAUUUGAAGGAGAUAAUGCCAAUUUGAUUUCUUUGUUUUUCCUAGAGGUUUUUUAGUUGAUUUCUUCAUGUGAUCGGGUGUACGUAUGUCAUUACUUGUACUGUGUUUGGCUGUGAAUUUGAUCGUCAAAUAGGAAUUAUCUCAGUGAAUCUUCCUUUGAUUGACAAAA